rnacentral:lncRNA from 1 species
AGCUACAUCCGUCACCUGACACGGCCCUACCAGGAACAGCCGCGCUCCCGCGGAUUCUGGUGCUGCUCGCGUCCCCGCUCCCCUAUUCCCCUUAUUUUAUUCCUGGCUCCCCUCGUCGAAAGUCUUCCAUUCUUCAAACUAGAUUAUUUAAAAAUGAAAAAGGAAGAAAGGAAAGCGAGGUCAUCUCAUUGCUCUAUCCGCCAAUCAGGAGGCUGAAUGUCAGUUUUGAACUAAAAGCCGCUCCGCUCCUCUUCUAGAUUUGGAAAACAAGCGAAAUUAAACUAAACCGCUGCACGCCUCUGACGCGACAUCUGGACACGGCGCGGCGCUGGCGCUGCCGGAGCUGUCGACCCGGCCUGGCGCCGGACUAGUGUCCCUUUUGAUGAGAAGAAUAAGCCUCAUUCUGAUUCAACAGCAGAGAUCAAAGAAAAGACUUCUGUUUUCUGGCCACCAGAUAUAUGUUAUCUGUGCUUAAAGAAUUGAAAAACACACAUCAAAGGAGAAUUUUCUUGGAAAGAGAGGGUUCAAGCAUCACUGUUAGGUGUGCUGGAAUCCUUUCCCGAGUCAGUACUGCUUUCUAGAAGAAAACCGGGGAGAUCUAUUUGGAAUGUAUCUAACUCCAAAGAAACCAUCAGAGGUAACAGUAGAGACGGGGUUUCACCAUGUUGGCCAGACUGGUCUUGAACUCUCGACCUCGUGAUUCGCCCGCCUCGGCCUCCCAAAGUGCUGGGAUUACAGGUGUGAGACACCACACCCGGCGGAUAGAGAGAAUUUUGACAGAUUGGCUUCUCUCACAUGGCAAGAAACAUUGCUGCUAGCACUUCCCGAGUUCUACGUUCUACAACAUCCACCACUGGAUCUUAACAUAGACGUAAGAUCAAAUGCAAUAGCAUGUCAAACAAUGUGUAACUCCAGUUAUACAAACAUUACUGUAUCUCAUUGGGGAUACGAAGCUCUACACACUUGAAGAUGGUGAAGGAAUAUAAAAAUCUAUGUCUCACAGUCCAGACUUGGAGUACAAGUAAUAAGAAGAAUAAAACUUAAUCCCUUAAGUAGAUUCACCAUAAGUUAGCUCAGAGCAAUUCCAGUGCAAGUAUGGUCUGUGAUCCAGUAGUAUCUUACAGACAGCAAGUUGAACAUUGUGGGAUGCAUGAGCUAUUGAGGCCUUUGCAGCUUUCUGCUACAUGGAGGCUAGGGCCAGAGUCAAGAUUUAUGCUUUGCAGCACACUGGUCAGCUGUUUUUGCAAAUCAGAUUAAAUGAUUUUUAAAUGAGGCUGAGAGCAUGGGAGAUACUAAUGUGUGUUUCCUUGUGAGCUACUGCAUAAGUUAGGAAAUUGAAAUACAGAAAGAUGAAAAGUGAUUUGCCCAAGCAUAUAGAUCAAAGCUGUGGCAGAACCAGGACUGGAACCUAUAUCUCUCUACUAAUGGUUUUUUUAAAAAAAUAACCUUGUUUCAAAAAUAUUAAAAAGUCACAAGAAAGGUAAACAUGUGGAUAAACAAAAUGAAGAAAAUAAAAAUUAUCCAGUAAUAACAUA